rnacentral:tRNA from 1 species
GCCUGGGUGGUUCAGUUGGUUAAGUGUCUGACUUCAGCUCAGGUCAUGAUCUUGCGGUUCAUGGGUUCAAGCCCCAUGUUGGGCU